rnacentral:rRNA from 1 species
AGAGUUUGAUCCUGGCUCAGGAUGAACGCUAGCGGCAGGCUUAACACAUGCAAGUCGAGGGGCAGCGCGGAGUAGCAAUACUCUGGCGGCGACCGGCGAAAGGGUGCGUAACGCGUGAGCAACUUGCCCGUAUCUGGGACAUAAGCGGUGGAAACGCCGUCUAAUUUCCCAUAACAACAGAGGCCGCAUGACCAUGUUUGAAAGAUCCGUCGGAUACGGAUGGGCUCGCGAGACAUUAGCUAGUCGGCGUGGUAACGGCACACCGAGGCUACGAUGUCUAGGGGUUCUGAGAGGAAGGUCCCCCACACUGGAACUGAGACACGGUCCAGACUCCUACGGGAGGCAGCAGUGAGGAAUAUUGGUCAAUGGGCGCAAGCCUGAACCAGCCAUGCCGCGUGCAGGAAUAAGGCCCUAUGGGUCGUAAACUGCUUUUGUGGUGGAGCAAUAAGGUGUACGUGUACACCGAUGAGAGUACAUCACGAAUAAGCAUCGGCUAACUCCGUGCCAGCAGCCGCGGUAAUACGGAGGAUGCAAGCGUUAUCCGGAUUUAUUGGGUUUAAAGGGUGCGUAGGCUGUGGGGAAAGUCAGGGGUGAAAGCCCGGCGCUUAACGCCGGAACUGCCUUUGAUACUUCUCC